AGAUAAGAAAAGCAAUGAAACAGCUCCUUGACUACUUGCCUACAAUUUUCUUGAUCCACAUUUUUAACGGAACGAAUCAGGCAAGCAGGAUCAUGGGCUGCAGACACAUUGAGGAGCAGCUGAGAGAGGUACCUGGAGCUGGGGCUGUCCUUGUGUUCCCCAUCAGCCUGGGCAACCCCUGAGAUCCUGGCACCUCUGGUCCUGGGGAGAUGCCAGCCUGCACAUGCCAUGACGGAUCAACUGCUCAGAAUUAUACAUGGGGUGACAAAAAACAGUGG